rnacentral:rRNA from 1 species
UACGAAGGGGGCUAGCGCUGUUCGGAAUCACUGGGCGUAAAGCGCACGUAGGCGGACUUUUAAGUCAGGGGUGAAAGCCUGAGGCUCAACCUCAGAACUGCCCUUGAUACUGGGAGUCUUGAGUAUGGUAGAGGUUGGUGGAACAGCAAGUGUAGAGGUGAAAUUCGUAGAUAUUUGCUAGAACACCAGUGGCGAAGGCGGCCAACUGGACCAUAACUGACGCUGAGGUGCGAAAGCGUGGGGAGCAAACAGG